UUUAUGAACAUCCAAAUAAAGAUGCUCGUCAAUUUCUCUCUCAUUUUUGGCACAAAAUUUGAUGUUCGACAAAGCAAAUGCUCCAAUAAAGAUGAUAAGUAUAAAGAUAAUUCAAGUUGACACUUGAUAAGUACCAAUAUCACAGUUAAAUUGCAAAGUUUCCACUUGAACACUCCUAAGAUGUACAAUAUACAGAAUACAUGAGAAGUCCUACAAAGCCCUAUCAGCAUUCAUUCAAUCCACCCUUCACAUAACUGGUAACUGAACAUGUAAUGGAGCAGUGACAUUGGAAGAUGAACAACUCACCAGAAAUUUAUAAUCUUCAGCACAUCUUUAUCUUUAAGCCCAAACUCAGAAACUGUACACCUUAAAAAUCUUGAAAAGAUAAGCUUGUAUCAUCAAAGCUAUGUAAGAGGUACUGAAGGAAACUUCCAUUUAAUCAUCCCAAGCACUAUCUGCUGCACCCUCUCCUUUGAUACUUGAAGAGGCAAUCAUGAACCUAUACUUAUCCUCAAUGCUUAAUGAAGUGGGUCCAACCAUUUGAGACAGAGCAUUCCUCGCUUCCUUUUGCAAGGCUGCUGCUUCUCUCUCUUUCCUUCUAGCAACCUAAAAUGUAAUUAGCACUUGCACUUAGUUUUACAAUAAUACAAUAAGGAAGCAUAGGUCAUACUGAAACAUUUUAAAGGUACAACUUGUAAUCAUACUGCAACAUAAAGGCGACAAAGAGUAGUGAAUUUAAGACUAGAUAGCACAAGGGUUGCAGGAAGAGAAUAAAGAUAUAAAGGUCACACGCACAUGCACGCACGCACACGCACACACACUUCAUCAGAGUAUAUUACAGAGAAAAUCCAUACCUUCCCAGUUGCAAAAGCCACUAUGUUACCAGAUUCAGCAUCUGCAAUUGCUUUCUUUAUUUGUGCCACUAGGAACUUGGGCACAAGGGAACACCAGUCAGGAUUAGAACAAACAUAAAUAUAAAUAAAAAUAAGCAUUAGAAAUAAGUAGAAAGAAAAGGCGAGGGUACCAGAUCACGAUCAGUGUAAAAUGAAGUAGCUUGGCCAGCUGAUCCUGCACGGCCUGUCCUUCCAACUCUAUGUACAUAAUCUUCCAUUGUCUAUAAUCGAGGCAGCCAUAACUGAAGCUUCAGGUUGCUAUUCAGAAUGACAUUAAUAGUGACUGAAAUGACCAGGCUAUUGAGAUGCUAACAUAUCAGUAGCAGAAAGCAUGAUCACAUGCUGAGAUCUAGGUCAUUACUAAACCCAUCAAAUGGGUUCAGGGUAUUGUGAUUAUCUACACAACCAAAGAUUUAAACUGCAGGACACUUCAAUAUCAAGAAGAUCUCUACCAAAUACCAAUGACAUUGAGCAUUGAUAGAUUGGCAAUCCACAAACCCAACAGAAUUCCCAAGCUUUCCAACAGACGUAAAUGUAGGAAAGAAUUAUCCAUCCAACAUAUGUUAAAUUGAUUUCUGGUAAAUUCAGUGACUAACAAGUUUCUGCCAUAAAUACCUUAGGAAGAUCCAGAUUAAUCACAUGAGCAACUCCUGUGACAUCCAAUCCUCGAGAUGCAACAUCAGUGGCAACCAAAAUAUUAUUGGAGCCACUUCUAAAAUCUUGCAGAGCAGCUUCUCUUUCACUCUGACUACGGCCACCAUGAAGAGCAGCCGCCUGUAAGCCUUGUGCUACCAGAGCUUCAGCAACUUCAUCACACCUUGUCUGUUUUCAGAACCAUAUUCAGGUACCAAGACAUUAAUCAAGAAACUUAAAGAUCAAGGCAUAAAUAUAAAUUAUCUCAUAAGCAAGUUUGAUCAAAAAAACAUUUAAUCUAAAAAAAAAAAAAAGGAAAGCCCCAAAAUCUUAUGGCAGGCACUAAGUGAUUCUUAUGCAUGUGCAUAUUCAUUUGUAUCUUUCUCAACUCAGCACAUUCUUUUAUUCAAGGUUUCCAAACUCAGUCCAGCCUCCAGCGUUUGAACCUAUGAAGGCCUUCACGGAUCAAAGAUUGAACAGGUAAACAACCGGAAUUAAAUUAAACAAUAAAUAUUAAAAUUUAUAUAUAUAAUAAACAAUAUUCCAUUAAAAUUUAUAUAUAUAAUUAACAAUAUUCUGUUAAAAAUCAUAUGGGAAUAAAAUAUAUUCACAUUAUUAUAUUUUACUAAAUUUAAGUAAAUUAUUAACUACUUAAAUUGAAGUUCACUAUAACAAACAUAUUUAAGACAAACAAUUUAAAAUAAGUUUUCCCUCAAUCAGCAAAUUAUUUGAUGAAAUUAUAUUACAAUAAAUUCUUCAUCAACAAUUAAGUGAUGUAAUGCUAGUAAAAGCAAGAAAUUAUUUGACGAAUACUAUAGCACUCAGCGCACCUUCCUUUCCACAAACACAACAGUUAAAGGAAAGGGAUGACCAGAUCUUUCAGCCUGAGAUGCAUCCUCCACAAGCAAAGCUAGAAGGCAAUCAAUCUACACCACAUUAAAUGCUGUCACAACUCCACCAUCAACUCCAAUAACAAUGCAUAACGCACAUUUUGGAAGCAUGUAAGAAAUUUUAAAAAGUUAGUGAGAAUGAAAUGAUUUGAUUUCAAUCAAUGAUCAGAUGUUCAGAAUGGAACAUUUACAUCAAAAUUCACAAGGAAAAAAAAAAAAAGAAAUAGUAUACAAAUCUAUAUUUGACUCCCAUGCAAUUUAUUUACCCCCUUCAAACAACAUAUAAUACCAUAAUGUUCCUCUUCCUCUAGCUGUUUUGUAAGCAACACUAUCUUCUAACUUAGGCAUCUACAUGGCAUUGUCUUUUUUCUCUGGAAACCAGAAUAACAUCAAUUUAAAGCAUAGUAAUAAUGAGUGAAAGUAGAGAAGAAGUUGAUCAUGCAAAUAAAAAAAUUUGGAAAGUACUAAUAAGUCCAACUUACCACCCUUAAUAUACCUAGAAAGAUGACCUUAUGCUAUAAAUAGUAAUACAACAAAUAAAUUAAGAACUUUUCACUAUCACAUGCAGAAUAAAAUACAUUGAAUCAGAAUACAAUGAGAAACUUACCUUCUCACUUUCAGAAACUUUUUUCAAAACUUGAGAUACAUUUGCAGUUGGGCUGCUCACUUUUCCAACCUUAAUUUGCACAGGGGUAGUUAGGUACUCCUGGGUUAGUAUCUCAAUCUCCACAGGCAUAGUUGCACUAAAUAGCAGAGUUUGAUGCCUUUUUGGAAGAUUGUGCAAUACCUCUCUAAUCUGUGGUUCAAACCCCAUAUCAAGCAUUCUAUCAGCUUCAUCCAGAACAAUAAACGAAAUUCUAGAGAGGGAAGUGUUUCCUUGCUGUAAAUGAUCAAUGAAUCUUCCUGGAGUAGCAACAAUUACAUCCACUCCAGCUCUUAGUUCAGACCUCUGGUCAGCAAUGUUAGUUCCACCAACAACUAUUGCAGUUCUAAAGCAUUCGAGAGAUCUGCUAAAACAUUUGACCUCCUUUUCAAUCUGUUGGGCUAGCUCUCUGGUAGGAGCCAACACCAAUGCCAGCGGUCCAUCGCCACGCCAAAUGGGAGACUGAGCCAAGCAGUGCUGUAUCAUCGGAAUGGCGAAUGCAGCAGUUUUGCCACUACCAGUUUGAGCACAACCUAACAAAUCUCUUCCACUAAGAGCAACUGUCAUGGCCUGAGCCUGAAUAGAAGUCGGCCUAGUAUAUCCAUGAUAUGUAAUAUCCUUCAUGAUGCUCGGGUGCAAAAGCAUAUCUUCAAACGAUUCAAUGGGUGCAGGUGCGGGAGGAGAAUCCGAAGCAACAGUGACUUCGACAUUAAGCCGCAAACGAACAUCUUCAAUCUGCUGCGAAUUCAAGCGAAGAACGCGCUCGGAGGGGCUCCAUUGAGGAAAAACGACUUCGGGAACAGCCAAGGUUCUCGGCGACGUGACAGCAACGGAAGUCCGGCGAGAGCCAUUGGACAAAGUAGGAAGAGAGUUCCAAGUGGAAGUAGCAGAGGAGAUUUUAGUGUGCAAAUUUGAAGAAGCGGAAUGCGAGAGCUUACUGAUGUGAUCACUGACGCUGUCUAGGGUUAGUGAAGAAGUGGUGGUGGUGGUAGAGUUCCUCAGGUGUGGCGGUAUAUACGACAUUGUUUAAGAUUGGCUUUAACAGUUUUUAGUUACGCUUGCACAAAUACAGUGGAGUGAAAAUGCGAUGGAGCGGAGCUGAUGAAAGAGGAAAAAACAGAUGUGAAGCGGAUGAUGAGCUAAGCGAGUGAAAUGAAAUGAUAUUCUUUUGACAAAUGAU
rnacentral:misc_RNA from 1 species